rnacentral:rRNA from 1 species
CCUGCGGCGGCCUAAUACAUGCAAGUCGAACGGUAAUCCAGGUGUUUCGGCAUUUGGAACGAGUGGCGCACGGGUGCGUAACACGUAUGCAACCUACCCUGAACAGGGACAUAACCUUGCGAAAGCGGGGCUAAUAUCCCAUAGUAUACCUGAAAGGCAUCUUUUUGGUAUUAAAGCCUUCGGGCGGUUCGGGAUGGGCAUGCGCCCCAUUAGCUAGUUGGUGAGGUAACGGCUCACCAAGGCAGUGAUGGGUAGGGGUUCUGAGAGGAUUAUCCCCCACACUGGUACUGAGACACGGACCAGACUCCUACGGGAGGCAGCAGUAAGGAAUAUUGGGCAAUGGGCGAAAGCCUGACCCAGCCAUGCCGCGUGCAGGAUGACGGCCCUAUGGGUUGUAAACUGCUUUUAUAUAGGAGUAAUAACCAAUACGUGUAUUGGGUUGCAAGUACUGUAUGAAUAAGUAUCGGCUAACUCCGUGCCAGCAGCCGCGGUAAUACGGAGGAUGCAAGCGUUAUCCGGAUUUAUUGGGUUUAAAGGGUGCGUAGGCGGGCAUUUAAGUCAGAGGUGAAAUCCCCGGGCUCAACCUAGGAACUGCAUUCGAAACUGCAUGUCUUGAGUGCUGGAGAGGGAAGCGGAAUUUCGGGUGUAGAGGUGAAAUUCGUAGAUAUCCGGANGAACACCAGUGGCGAAGGCGGUUUCCUGGACAGUUACUGACGCUGANGCGCGAAAGCGUGGGGAGCAAACAGGAUUAGAUACCCUGGUAGUCCAUGCCGUAAACGAUGCGCACUAGGUGUUGCGGCCUUUGACCGCUGCGGUGUUG